AGGGAAUAUUGCACAAUGGAGGAAACUCUGAUGCAGCGACGCCGCGUGAGUGAUGAAGGCCUUCGGGUUGUAAAGCUCUGUCGUACGGGAAUAAUACAGUGAAUGUACCGUGCAAGAAAGGAUCGGCUAACUUCGUGCCAGCAGCCGCGGUAAGACGAGGGAUCCUAGCGUUGUUCGGAAUCAUUGGGCGUAAAGCGGGUGUAGGUGGCUUUGUAAGUCAGAUGUGAAAGCCUGAGGCUUAACCUCAGAAGUGCAUUUGAUACUGCGAAGCUUGAGUGCUGGAGAGGCUACUAGAAUUCCAGGUGUAGUGGUGAAAUACGUAGAUAUCUGGAGGAAUACCGGAGGCGAAGGCGGGUAGCUGGCCAGACACUGACACUCAGACCCGAAAGCGUGGGGAUCAAAC
rnacentral:rRNA from 1 species